rnacentral:rRNA from 1 species
UCCGUAGGUGAACCUGCGGAAGGAUCAUUACAGAGUUCAUGCCCGAAAGGGUAGACCUCCCACCCUUGUGUAUUAUUACUUUGUUGCUUUGGCGAGCUGCCUUCGGGCCUUGUAUGCUCGCCAGAGAAUACCAAAACUCUUUUUAUUAAUGUCGUCUGAGUACUAUAUAAUAGUUAAAACUUUCAACAACGGAUCUCUUGGUUCUGGCAUCGAUGAAGAACGCAGCGAAAUGCGAUAAGUAAUGUGAAUUGCAGAAUUCAGUGAAUCAUCGAAUCUUUGAACGCACAUUGCGCCCCUUGGUAUUCCGGGGGGCAUGCCUGUUCGAGCGUCAUUUCAACCCUCAAGCUUAGCUUGGUAUUGAGUCUAUGUCAGUAAUGGCAGGCUCUAAAAUCAGUGGCGGCGCCGCUGGGUCCUGAACGUAGUAAUAUCUCUCGUUACAGGUUCUCGGUGUGCUUCUGCCAAAACCCAAAUUUUUCUAUGGUUGACCUCGGAUCAGGUAGGGAUACCCGCUGAACUUAAG